UCUUUCGCUCCGUUUUUCUUCAUCAGGCCCCCAAUACAGAGCUUUCGCGUGUCGAACUUAGAUUGCCGUGUUUCAGACUUAAAGCGCGAAUCAUUCCAUGUCAUGUUGAGGCGGUGCGCUUGACAGUGUGACGGAGAUAAGUUCGAUGAGCGUAAUAUGUGGCGGGGAAGGCGUCGUUUCCCGCCUUUUUUUGUAUUAGCCGGUGUAGGGAUGUGAUUCCAAGCUCUGCAUAUUCUGUCACCUGACUGACACAACAAGCCGAUGUUCGUCCUUGUGGUUGGGUCACGAUGCCGCCAUCUUUCGACGGUUGACACAACAAGCCGAUGUUCGUCCUUGUGGUUGGGUCACGAUGCCGCCAUCUUUCGACGGGU